rnacentral:rRNA from 1 species
AUCGAACGCUGGCGGCAUGCUUUACACAUGCAAGUCGAACGGCAGCGCGGUCUUCUUCCUGGCUGCGAGUGGCGAACGGGUUUGUAAUACAUCGGAACGUGCCCACCAGUGCGGGAUAGCUCGUCCAAAGCCGGAUUAAUACCGCAUACGACCUGAUGCUGCAACCUGGGGAUCUUCGGACCUCUCGCUAUUGUAGCGGCCGACGGCAGACUAGCUAGUUGGUGGGGUAAAGGCCUACCAAGGCGACGAUCUGUAGCUGGUCUGAGAGGACGACAGGCCACACGGGAAAGGAGACGCGGCCAAGGCUCCUGCGGGAGGGAGCAGUGGGGAAUUGUAGACAAUAGGCGAAAGCCUGAUACAGCGAUGCCGCGUAUGAGAUGAAGGCGUUCGGGUUGUAAAGAACUUUUGGGGGGAACAAAAAGGAUUGUGCAAAUACCAAGAUUCGAUGACGGUACCCGCAGAAUAAGCACCGGCUAACUACGUG